rnacentral:rRNA from 1 species
GAACGAACGCUGGCGGCGUGCCUAACACAUGCAAGUCGAACGAGAAAGUUUCCUUCGGGAAACCAGUAAAGUGGCGCAAGGGUGAGUAACACGUGAAUAAUCUGCCUACGAACUCGGGAUAACUCGACGAAAGUUGUGCUAAUACCGGAUAAGACCACUCUUCUUAUGUAGAGUGGCCAAAGGAGUCUCAAACUCCGUUUGUAGAUGAGUUCGCGGACCAUUAGCUAGUUGGAGGGAUAAUAGCCCCCCAAGGCUACGAUGGUUAGCCGGCCUGAGAGGGUGAUCGGCCACACUGGAACUGAGACACGGUCCAGACUCCUACGGGAGGCAGCAGUGGGGAAUAUUGCGCAAUGGGCGAAAGCCUGACGCAGCAACGCCGCGUGAGGGAUGAAGGUUUUAGGAUCGUAAACCUCUGUCGGAUGGGAAGAAUAAUGACGGUACCAUCAGAGGAAGCCCCGGCUAACUCCGUGCCAGCAGCCGCGGUAAUACGGAGGGGGCAAGCGUUGUUCGGAAUUAUUGGGCGUAAAGCGUAUGUAGGCGGUUAGACAAGUCAAGCGUGUAAGCCCGUGGCUCAACCACGGAAUUGCGUUUGAAACUGUCUAACUUGAGUGCAGGAGAGGAAAGCGGAAUUCCCAGUGUAGCGGUGAAAUGCAUUGAUAUCUGAAGGAACACCAGUGGCGAAGGCGGCUCUCUGGACCAAUACUGACGCUGAGGUGCGAAAGCGUGGGUAGCAAACGGGAUUAGAUACCCCGGUAGUCCACGCCGUAAACGAUGUCAACUAACUGUUGGGCGGGUUUCCCCGCUUAGUGGUGCAGCUAAAGCAAUAAGUUGACCGCCUGGGGAGUACGGCCGCAAGGCUAAAACUCAAAUGAAUUGACGGGGGCCCGCACAAGCGGUGGAGCAUGUGGUUUAAUUCGAUGCAACGCGAAGAACCUUACCUACCCUUGACAUACAGAGAACUUUCUAGAGAUAGAUUGGUGCCUUCGGGAACUCUGAUACAGGUGCUGCAUGGCUGUCGUCAGCUCGUGUCGUGAGAUGUUGGGUUAAGUCCCGUAACGAGCGCAACCCUUAUCCUUAGUUGCUACCAUUUAGUUGGGCACUUCUAGGGAAACUGCCGGUGACAAGCCGGAGGAAGGCGGGGAUGACGUCAAGUCCUCAUGGCCCUUAUAGGCUGGGCUACACACGUGCUACAAUGGCGGUGACAGUGGGCGGCGACCCCGCGAGGGUGAGCUAAUCCCCAAAAGCCGUCUCAGUUCGGAUUGCACUCUGCAACUCGAGUGCAUGAAGUUGGAAUCGCUAGUAAUCGCGGAUCAGAAUGCCGCGGUGAAUACGUUCCCGGGCCUUGUACACACCGC